UACGUAGGGUGCAAGCGUUGUCCGGAAUUAUUGGGCGUAAAGAGCUCGUAGGCGGCUUGUCCCGUCGACUGUGAAAACCCGGGGCUCAACUCCGGGCCUGCAGUCGAUACGGGCUGGCUUGAGUGCGGUAGGGGAGACUGGAAUUCCUGGUGUAGCGGUGAAAUGCGCAGAUAUCAGGAGGAACACCGGUGGCGAAGGCGGGUCUCUGGGCCGAUAUUGACGCUGAGGAGCGAAAGCGUGGGGAGCAAACAGG
rnacentral:rRNA from 1 species